rfam:Echinostoma caproni strain Egypt genome assembly, scaffold: ECPE_scaffold0020424
GGCCUCGUAGCUCCGCUGGUAGAGCGUGCGCUGUAAAAAAAGCGUAGGCGGUGUCCAUGCGUGGGUUCGAAUCCCACCGAGGCAA